rnacentral:rRNA from 1 species
UACGGAGGGGGCAAGCGUUGUCCGGAAUCACUGGGCGUAAAGGGCGCGUAGGCGGCUCAUGAAGGCUGUGGUGAAAGUCCGGGGCUCAACCUCGGAUCGGCCGUGGCGACUCGUGGGCUGGAGCACUGUAGAGGCGGGUGGAAUUCCCGGUGUAGCGGUGGAAUGCGUAGAGAUCCGGAAGAACACCAGUGGCGAAGGCAGCCAUCUGGACCGACACUGACGCUGAGGCGCGAAAGCGUGGGGAGCAAACAGG